CACCGCCCGUCACAUCACGAAAGCCAGGUUGUACUUAGAAGCCGGCAAUUCAACCGCAAGGAGGAUAGCCGUCCAAGGUAUGACUGGUGAUUGGGGUG
rnacentral:rRNA from 1 species